UACGGGGGGAGCAAGCGUUGUUCGGAUUUACUGGGCGUAAAGGGCGCGUAGGCGGCCAGCGCAAGUCAGUUGUGAAAUCUCCGGGCUUAACUCGGAAAGGUCAACUGAUACUGCGCGGCUAGAGUGCAGAAGGGGCAACUGGAAUUCUCGGUGUAGCGGUGAAAUGCGUAGAUAUCGAGAGGAACACCUGCGGCGAAGGCGGCUCACUGGUCCAUUACUGACGCUGAGGUGCGAAAGCGUGGGGAGCAAACAGG
rnacentral:rRNA from 1 species